rnacentral:rRNA from 1 species
GAAUAUUGGACAAUGGGCGAAAGCCUGAUCCAGCCAUGCCGCGUGUGUGAAGAAGGUCUUCGGAUUGUAAAGCACUUUCAGUUGGGAGGAAGGGCAGUAAGCGAAUACCUUGCUGUUUUGACGUUACCGACCGAAUCAGCCCCGGCUAACUCUGUGCCAGCAGCCGCGGUAAUACAGAGGGGGCAAGCGGUAAUCGGAAUUCCCGGGCGUAAAGCGCGCGGAGGUGGUUCGUUAAGUGGGAGGUGAAAUCCCCGGGCUCAACCUGGGAACUGCAGCCAAAACUGGCGAGCUAGAGUAGGGCAGAGGGUGGUGGAAUUUCCUGUGUAGCGGUGAAAUGCGUAGAUAUAGGAAGGAACACCAGUGGCGAAGGCGACCACCUGGGCUCAUACUGACACUGAGGUGCGAAAGCGUGGGGAGCAAACAG